AAGAGGAAGGACAGACACCCCGACAUUGGAGCUCUCUCCCAGUCGGACACCAGGAGCCCCGACGCCCACACCCUCCCCCAUCGGCUCCAUCUCUCCGGUCGUGUCGUCUGGACGUCGGACUCCAGGAUCUCGGGGAAGGUUCCCUCCUCCCAGCCCGGCUCAGGCCUGAGGAGUCUGGGAGAUCUGGGAGAAGCCAACAGGGAGAAACUCCUCCUGGACCUCGACUCUGGGAUGAGCCCAGCGCCUGGACCCCCCGAAGACUUGGGCUGACCAGGAGGACCCCAGGGGUGCCACAACAAUGAAGGGGAGCCCAGGGGUGCCACAACAAUGAAGGGGAGCCCAGGGGUGUCAGAACCCCCAGACAAGGAGCCAGGUCAGACCCUGUACCACGCAGGAGAGGGCACCCCCAGACCUGCAGUUAGAAGUCCAGAGGGUGUUCUCGACCGGUCAGCACAGGAGGGGACAGGGUACCCCAUCAGCACUGAAGGGCACGAGGCGCCAGGCAGGUGAGUGCAGACCAGGUGAGUCUCUCCUUCACUGGCUGUCAAGCUUCAGGCGGAGAGCCAGUGGACUCCUCCUAUCGGGGCAUCAGGGGGUGACCCUCAGGGCUGUGUCCUGACCUCCUGCUGUCUCUUGCCCACAAGAUCCUGGUCAGUGUGCUGUUGAU
rnacentral:lncRNA from 1 species